GCAUUGACGUUUCGACACCACAUUUUUCGUAAAGAGACAGUAUAGUCAGAAAAAAAUUAGAAUCGAUCGAUAAGAAUAAAGAUCUGUAAGAAUUUAAGAACCUGGUGUGCCUCGUCGCAAAUAAAGCACAGUACUUUAGAUAGUGCGAAUCAACCUUAAAGCCUCCUUGCUCGAUGGUACACUUACGACCGAGCCUUCUCGUCGUCGACGUCUCCUGCGGCUCUCUCCCAUCAUCUCGAUCAUCGCCGUUUUCUCGUCGCCGGUUGCCCAAGUCCCUAGACAAUCCUCUUUAUAUAUU
rnacentral:lncRNA from 1 species